CGCGCCCCGCGCAGAGCGGGGGGCGGGAGCGGCGGCGUGGGGAGCGCGCCCGGCGCUGCGCCUCCAUCCCUGCCCGCCGUGCCGCCGGCAUGUUCUCCAGGAAGAGCCACGCCGACGUCAGGAAAUCCACGCAGAAGGCGCUGGACCCCAAGCGGGACGUGCUGACCCGCCUGAAGCACCUCCGCGCUCUGCUGGAUAUCGUGGAUGGAAGUGACCUCAAGCAGUUUUUUGACAACAAUUACUCUCAAAUUUAUUUUAUAUUCUAUGAAAACUUCAUAACACUGGAAAACAGCUUGAAACAAAAAGGGAAUAAAUCACAAAGGGAGGAGCUGGACUCCAUCCUCUUUCUUUUUGAAAAAAUAUUGCAGCUACUACCAGAGAGGAUUUUUUAUCGAUGGCAUUUUCGCAGUAUAGGGUCGAUUCUGAAGAAGCUUUUGCACACUGGAAAUUCUCUCAAGCUCAGGUGUGAAGGAAUCCGCCUGUUCCUGCUGUGGCUGCAAGCCCUGCAGACCAACUGUGGCGAGGAGCAGAUCCUGAUGUUCGCCUGCCUGGUGCCCGGCUUCCCCCCGCUGCCGUCCUCGCGCGGGCCCUGCACGCUGGAGAGCCUGGUCAGCCCGCCGGCCGCGCCCGACGCCAAGAUAUUUCCAGAAGAAAUAACGCCGCUUUUGCCAGCUGUCUCUGGAGAGAAAAUUGCAGAAGACCAGACCUGCUAUUUUCUCCAGCUCCUAUUAAAAUAUAUGGUAAUUCAGGCUGCCAGCUUGGAGUGGAAGAACAAGGAGAACCAAGACACUGGUUUUAAGUUUCUCUUUACUUUGUUCAGAAAAUACUAUCUUCCUCACUUGUUCCCAUCUUUUACAAAGCUAACCAACCUCUACAAACCUGUGCUGGACAUCCCUGAUAUCAGGCCGAGGCCAGUGUAUGUCACUGCAACACGGAACAAUGAGAGUGUCUACUGCACGAAAAUCCCCUACAUGGCAGCUCGAGUGGUUUUUAUCAAGUGGCUCGUUACCUUCUUCCUUGAAAAGAAGUAUUUAACUGCUGUUCAGAACACAAAAAAUGGAGGAGAAGUGCUCCCUAAAAUUAUUCAGACAGUCGCCGUGGGCCAGGAGAGGAGCGCGGAGCUGGAGGCGGGCGCGGCGCCCGCGGGCGAGCAGGAGCACGGCCGCUCCAGCAGCAGCAGCCUGUCGGACAGGAGGCUCAGCAGCUGCAGCCUCUGCAGCGUGGAGGAGCAGCACCGCGGCGUCUACGAGAUGGUGCAGGGCAUCCUGCUCUCCACGCGCGGAUACGUCAACUUCGUCAACGAGGUGUUCCGCCAGGCUUUUUUGUUGCCGCCUUCUGAUAUAUCCGCAACACGGAAGGUGGUGAAAGUGUACCAGAAGUGGAUACUGCAGGAGAAACCUGUGUUCAUGGAGGAGCCAGACAAGAAGGAGGACAGCCAGGAUGCUGUUGCUCCCUUGGAAGACUCCUCAGUGCAAACAGACGGUAAACAUCUCUCCUCGGAGCCCAGCGGGCACAAGCGCUCCUCCAGCUGGGGCAGGACCUACUCCUUCACCAGUGCUGUCAGCAGGGGCUGCGUGCUGGAGGAUGAGGACAGGGAUGUGAAGGCUGGUGCUCAGGCUGCGCUGCAGGUAUUCCUGACAAACUCAGCAAAUGUUUUCCUGCUGGAGCCAUGCAGUGAGGUCCCUUUGCUGCUGAAGGAGCAGGUGGAUGCUUGCAAAGCUGUUCUCAGCAUCUUCAGGCGCAUGAUAAUGGAGCUGUCCAUGAACAGAAAGACGUGGGAACAGAUGCUGCUGAUACUCCUCAGAAUAACAGAAGCUGUGAUGCAGAAGCCAAAGGAGAACCAGACGAAGGACACGUUUGCUCAGAGCAUGGCAGGGCUGCUGUUCAGAACCCUCAUUGUGGCUUGGAUCAGAGCCAACCUGAGUGUUUACAUCUCCCGGGAGCUGUGGGAUGAGCUGCUCAGUGUCCUGUCCGGCCUGACGGACUGGGAGGAGCUCAUCAACGAGUGGGCCAACAUCAUGGACUCCCUGACAGCAGUGCUGGCCAGGACUGUGUAUGGUGUGGAGAUGACAAACCUGCCCCUGGACAAGCUCAGUGAACAGAAGGAAAAAAAGCAGAGAGGCAAAGGUGGUGUUUUAGAGCCUCAGAAGACAGCUGUAGUAGGAAGAUCUUUUUCCUUAAGCUGGAAAAGUCACCCCGAAGUUGUGGAGCCAAUGAGAUUCAGAAGUGCCACAACCUCUGGGGCCCCAGGAGUGGAGAAAGCAAGAAACAUUGUCCGUCAGAGAGCCACAGCUAAGCGAAGCCAGUCUAUCAGCAACUGUGUCCAUCUUUAUGAGGCUUUGCCAGCCACUAAAAGUGUACCUCUUCUGCUUCACACUGUGAGCUCUCUCUUCCCUGGUAUCUCUUACACUUCUUGCUCUCACAGACUGUCAGAAGUUGAAGAAUCUCAACAGCUGGAAAAUUCAGAAGGAACAGAAACUGCAGGCCCAUUUUCAGACCAAGAGCAGCAGCUAACUCGAAGCAGCAGCACUUCAGAUAUUGCAGAUCAGAUUCCAUCUGAUUUUUUUCAAGGUAAAAAGGCUGGAAAUUCAACUUCAGACUCCAAAUUGGUUCAGGAAAAUAAGGGAUAUGUAAAGGAGCAUGAAGCCGAGCAAGUGCUAAUGCAGAGGAGCAGCAGUACAGCUGAUCUGGAUCUGAAAGCAGACUUGCAGCAAUCUCACGGGUAUUACAGAGAGAGAGAGAAAAGUGAGAGCGUGAGCAGUGACACGUCCCUGGGCUGUGGAGCUGACGUGGACAUCGCGCUGGUGGCCUGGCAGGCGGCCGAGGAUGACCCCGAGGCCGGGCUGGCGGCGGGAGCGGGCGGGGACCCCGCAGCGCCGCGCUGGCUCCAGCUCAGCCCCUCGCAGGAGCCCGCCAACCUCACAGACAGCAGUGAGUUCCUGGCUGAUGAUUGCAGUAUAAUUGCUGGUGGGAGCCUUAUUGGUUGGCAUCCUGAUUCUGCUGCUGUGCUGUGGAGGAGAAUCCUGGGAAUUCUUGGAGAUGUGAACAACAUACAGUCACCUAAAAUCCAUGCAAAAGUUUUUGGCUACCUUUAUGAGCUGUGGUAUAAACUUGCAAAGAUCCGGGACAACCUCGCUAUCAGCGUUGACAAUCAGUCAACUCCCUCUCCUCCCGUCCUGAUCCCUCCUCUCAGGAUAUUUGCAUCAUGGCUGUUCAAGGCAGCCAUGCUCCCCAGCGAGUACAAGGAGGGGAAGCUGCAGGCAUUCCGGCUGCUCUGCGCCAUGAUGAGCCGGCGCCAGGACCUGCUGCCCAACUCCGACUUCCUGGUGCACUUCUACUUUGUCAUGCGCCUGGGGCUCACCAGCCAGGACCAGGACAUCCUGAACACUGUCAUAAAGCACUGCCUGCCGUGGUUCUUCUUCCUGGGGCUGCCUGGCUUCACAAUGCUGAUCGGGGACUUCCUUGGAGCAGCGGCACGCGUGCUGAGCACGGACACGCCGGAGGCUCCCCGCUCUGAGGCUCACACUAUCCUUGGUGCCCUUGUGUGCUUUCCAAACACCUACCAAGGAAUCCCACAGUGGGGACCCAUCUCAGAAGCUGGUGACAGCAUCACAGGAACUUCAGAUUUGAAGUAUUGCCUCAUAAAUAUUUUAUUGAAGAAUGCCGCAGAGGAGCCAAGUGAAGCUGCAAGAUGCAUAGCCAUCUGUGGCCUCGGCGUGUGGAUCUGUGAGGAGCUCACACAGUGCACCAGCCAUCCCCACGUGAAGAAAGCCAUCAAUGUCAUAGGUGUGACACUGAAGUUUUCCAACAAGCUGGUGGCUCAGGUAGCCUGUGAUGUCCUUCAGCUGCUGGUGUCUUACUGGCAGAAGCUUCAGGAGUACGAAUCCUCUCUGUGCCGGAAAAUUACAGAAAUCCUGGUGGCCACCAUCGCGUUUCUCCUGCCCGGCGCCGAAUACUCCUCCAUGGAAGUGGAUAAGAAGUUCAUAGUUUCACUGCUGCUUUGCUUGCUGGACUGGUGCAUGGCACUGCCCAUGAAAAUGCUGCUGGAGCCCGUGUCUGCUGGUGCUGUGGAGGAUCAACAUGCAUCUAGAGCUCCUUUGCUGGAUUAUAUUUACAGAGUCCUGCACUGCUGCAUCAAUGGCUCCAGCACCUACACGCAGCAGAGCCACUAUGUGCUGAGCCUGGCUGACCUCUCCUCCUCUGACUACGACCCCUUCUUGCCCCUGGGGAACGUCAGGAGCUCCUCUGAGCCAGCCCAGUGCCCCUCCUCCACCGAUUUGGGCAACCUGCUCACCGUGGCUGAAGAGAAGAGGAGAAGGAAUUUGGAGCUGAUCCCUCUCACGGCUCGGAUGGUCAUGACUCACCUGGUGAACCACCUGAGCCACUACCCGCUCAGCGGGGGCCCCGCCAUCCUGCACAGCCUCCUGAGCGAGAACCACGACAACUCCUACGUGGAGUCCUCCGAGCUGUGCUCGGAAGUGUUCCGCAGCCCCAACCUGCAGCUGUUCGUGUUCAACGACAGCACUCUCAUCUCCUACCUCCAGAUCCCCGCCGAGAAGAAGGGCACUGAGCCGGCAGCAGCGCCCUCGGACGUGCGGGUGAUCGUGCGGGACAUCUCAGGGAAGUACUCCUGGGAUGGCCGGGUGCUGUACGGGCCCCUGGAGGGCUGCCUGCCGCAGCGCAGCACGGCCGCUGCCUUCGUCAUCUCCAGCGACCCCCAGCAGGACGGCCUGUCCCAGAACGAUGUGUCCCAGGUGGAGGAGGGGGAGGACGCCCUGGACCAGCUGCUGGAGAGGAUCGGGAGCAGCAGCCCCGAGUGCCUCCUGCACCCGCAGCGCAAGCUGAACGAGCCGGCGCCGCCGCCCUGCGGGAUGAGCCCCGAGCAGGAGCGGGCCAUCACCGAGGCCCUGCUGCAGCAGAGCGCCCAGGAAAGGGAGUUCAUCCUCAAGUGCAGCUCGGACUGCAGCAUGAGCGUGGCCCGCCAGGAGCCACCGCCCCCUGCCCAGCCCCAAGCCUCCUUUUAUUUCUGUCGCCUGCUGCUGAACGACUUGGGGAUGAACUCCUGGGAUAGAAGAAAAAGCUUUCAUCUGCUGAAGAAAAAUUCAAAGUUGCUGAGAGAACUGAAAAAUCUGGAUUCCCGCCAAUGUCGUGAGACUCACAAGAUCGCCGUGUUCUACAUCGCUGAGGGACAGGAGGACAAGUGUUCCAUCCUGGCCAAUGCCAGGGGCAGCCAGGCCUAUGAAGAUUUUGUUGCUGGGCUGGGCUGGGAGGUCGACCUGUCCACGCACGGCGGGUUCAUGGGCGGCCUGCAGCGCAACGGCAGCACGGGGCAGACCGCGCCCUACUACGCCACCUCCACCGUGGAGAUCAUCUUCCACGUGUCCACAAGGAUGCCCUCCGACUCAGACGACUCGCUGACCAAAAAGCUCCGUCACUUGGGGAACGACGAGGUUCACAUCGUGUGGUCCGAGCACACCCGCAACUACCGCAGGGGCAUCAUCCCCACCGACUUCGGGGACGUCCUCAUCGUCAUCUACCCCAUGAAGAACCACAUGUUCUUCAUUGAGAUCAUGAAGAAGCCCGAGCCAUGAAUGAAACACUCCAGAAUUCUCAACCCACAGGACUUACUGGGCAAAGAAUAGUAUUUAAACCACUGUGACUGUCCUCUGAGGCAGUGAAAGCAAACCAUCCAUGAUGUGAGUUCCUUGUGUGGUGUUGGGUCACUGCUGUACACACGGCACCAAGCAGAACCUCACACGUCUGUGGUGCUGUCAUUGUCACCUGACUGGGUGGGAUGAUGCAGACACUGGACAUCCUGUCAUCAAACAAAGUAUGGGAGGUUCACAGUUGAGAUAUUUUUUGGGAAAAAAAAAAAGCAUUUUUUGUAAAAUGUCAGAGGUGUGUGUAUGUACAUCUGUGCAUGUGUGUGAAAAAGCCACUGCAGUAAAUGCUCAUCUGGUACAUAAUGGAUGCAAAAAUAUGCGUAAAAUAUACUUUGUGAAAGUAGUCAUUGUGAUAAAUACCCUUUGCCUGAUAUGAGGGACAAUAUUUGUCCAAAGGAGUAGCCAACUGUGGUAAAUGCCUUCAUCACAUCCCAUAUUGACCAGGUGUCAACACUAUUUUUUGAGUUGUGCACGAUGGAGUUGUUGGAUAUUGACAACCAGUGUUUUGUCAGUAGACAUUUCAAACUUGAACAUUUUCUAAUACUGGGUUGUUGGGGUGUUUUUUUAUGGUGUUGAGCUGUGCAGUUUAGUUUUUGCGCAUUUUAGCUUUUAGCUUUUUUUUUAAUGUUCCAUCAGGGAAAUGAGAAUUUAGCGUUAGGAAAACGCUUGAGACUUCUCUGGAGCGAUGGAGAAAAGCUGUGUCAUCUUACAUAUUAGUCAAAACCACCCGACGGGCAGCCAGAAUGAGAGCUAACUGGAAAUUUAGUGUUAUCCCUACAUUUAAAGUACAAACCAUUACAAUGUAAUAAAAUUAAUCCAGACAUUUCCAGGGCAAGUGUGGCUGACCUUUUGUUCACCAGCUACUGACCCCAGGGUGAAUGAACGAGCCUUGCAGAGAGAAAUGUCUGUUGUUUGGCUUCAGUCCCUGGCAUUUAAAUUGCAUUCCCUAAUCGAAUGAAAAGGCUGUCCUCUCUAUCAGGUUACAGAAUCCAUGGCAACAUUUGGCCUUUUAUAUCCAUAAUGUUAGCCUUUUUGUUUGCAGCCAAGUAGAGACACCUGGAGCAAUGUUAACAUUAACCGCUUUAGCAUUAAUAGCUUCAUUAUAGAAGAAUUUCUGAUCAGAUAGCUGUUACUUUUGUUAUAUUGCUUCAGCUUGUAUUGUUUUCAUUUUUGAUCUCCCUGCUUGGCAACCCGGCAAUGAUUUGCAAAUUUUUUUGUCUUGAUUAAUUAAGCAAUAUAAUUAUCAGGAACUGUGCUGCAGUCUUUGCCCGACAAAGCUUCGGAGGGAAGACAAUAGUAAGUCUGUUAGUGUGAAUGCAUUCCACGCGUCACAGAUGCACGAGGAUAUUGGGAACAAUGAGAGGAAAAGCUGCCUGCGAGAGGGGACAAAGCAUGCCAGGCAAGCUCCGCACUGCACAUACCGCCAGGGACAUGCUGCGGGUUCCCUGGGACACAGAUGCCUCGUUAGAUUGCAGCUCGUCAUCAGAGAUUAAUUCUCAGCCAUUUGGUACAAUAAUUUACCCAUUCCCCACUCUUUUAACUAGUGCUGCUUGCUGUAGAGGGGAAGUCUUUGUGCUCAGAAGGUUUAUUUAACCUUGCCUACUUUUACUGCGGGCAACAGAAAUAAUGAUUUUGCUGUUGGAAAUUGGAAUGAAGCAGGUGUUUGCAGUGGGCUGAAUAUUAAUUUUUGCUUCACGGAUAACUUGCAGUGACAUUUGGAGUGCUCGCAGAAGGGGAUCUUUCCCUCUCUUUUUUUAAUUGAUUCCUGUCAAAGCAGGCUGUUUGUUUGUGGUGGCCAGUGGAGCCCUGCUUUCCCAGGCGGGCUGUUGGGUGCCGAGUGGGGAGCGCACCCUGCACCUUCCACUGGCCUCCCCCACAGCCCUUGUCAGGGCAGGGCCCCGUGCAGAUGGAAGCUGAGGAGAUGCAGCUCCAGUGACUUUAAUGACCCUUGGCGAGGCCACUGUGUGUGCUGGGGAAUGAAUAAUUCCGAGCCCCGCGUGCGCGGCGCUCGGAUCGAGGCGGGCUCCGGAGCCCUGGGCUCUGCUGCUGCUCUCCCUGGCUGGGAUACACACACCCCGUCCCUGGGUGACAUCUGUAAAUUCUGUGGUGCACUGCUGAGAAAGCGUGCCCCGCUCCCCAGCUCCUGGUGAGUGUGAAACCGUGAAUGCAAGUGCUGUAAGCAAAACCUACUUGUCCAAAAAGCCCAGCAGGGAAUUUCCCUGCCCCAGUAGCAUCUGCUGAUCUGACUUUACAUAUCUGGUAUUUGCGUGGUGGUAUCACUCCAAUGCUAGUAUGUACUUAACCUCCUUAUCUGUACUUUUGUGUUCUUUUCUCUUGCUGUCAAUGCUUCAAGACAGUGCAUGGCAUAAAAAUUUCACUUAAAAAUAUUACUGCCUAGAGAGGCAAAACUGGGUGCUCCAUAAUGUUAUCAUUUUGGUGGCAUUGAUUUUCCUCUUUCACCUUCCCUUCCAACUGCCUGGAUAGUAAUGCCAGCAGUAAAUAAAAAAAAUUAUAAAGAAGGUGAAACCACUAUGAUGAUUUUAACAUUUUAAACAUUUUAUACUUUUAUGUUUUAUUGGGACGUGGGUAAUUAUUUUAAGUAAAGGAAUGACAGAAUAAGUGUGUGCAGAGACAGCUGUCAUUUCCAGAUGUUACAUUAAACCAAAAUUUCUUCUGUAAUUCAUUGCCACUUCUAAUUAGAGGAAUUCCCUAGAUACAGGGGAUUUAUAUUAUUCCCUUUGUCCAUUUAUUGAAUGACUGUCACAGUCACCCACAAGCAGUUGGAGAAGAAUAAUAGAGGGUAUUUAUUUAUGUGAUAAGCCUCUGUACAGAUGGAAAAAAUCCGUAGCUUAAAUAUUGAUAAUUGUUGCUGGCUUCUGUCUAGAGCUUUAGUUGGGGGGUUGUUUUUUUCAUUUUGAGUCUCUGAGAGGGAAAUUAAUUUGAGUACUUGCAAGUACUGAAAGUUGUGCAUUUAAGCAUCAACAUUUUCUGGGUUUGGCAGGCUCAGGUCUGUUUUGUGUCUGCAGUUCUGGACACGGUUUAUUUUUAGAAAGCAUCUCUUGCUCGUAGUGUGGUCUUGAUCUGCAGAGCCUUAGGUCACCAGAGGAUGUCACACAGGGGUUUCCUGUGCAGGUGGCCCUGAAGGAGCAGCAUUUGGGCACCUGGACCCACUGGGCUGGGCCUGUUUGUGCCUGUCCUGACCCUGUGUCCUGCCCUUGAGAGAGCCCCUGCUCUGCCAUCUCCUCUGCCUUCCACACACCUCCUUAUCUUGGACCAGCUCAAGGUUUUUUUCUCUUCUAUGAAGUCCAUGGAAGGAGUUUGUAGAGGAUUAUAUGAAGUAAAUAUGUCUUUGCAAAGCCUCCUGCCAAUGUUGGAGUCAGCCAGUGAAUCAGGGUCUCCUGUUGGGAUCCCAGAUGGAAAACAGCUCCUAAUAUUCACUGCCAAAGGCAUAUUGAUUGUAAAUUCAUAGAUGGCCUCAGUUUCUAUGUGUACCAAGCUCGUGCUUAGCCAGCAGAAUGUCCUGAGACAUGUGUAGUGUGCUGAGGGCAGUCAUGGGGGAUUUAAACACUCACCAGCUUGGGAGACGAAUGUCACACUGGGAGUCUCUGUAGAAAACAAUGUGGGCACACUGUUUUGGUGGCAAAAUGCUGUGCCAGUCUCCUGCAGUGGUUCUGAAGCCUGCUUUUCUGUUUUGGGGACUCAGGUGCCCUUUUUCGGUCCCCUCUUCGACGGCGCCAUCGUGACCGCGAAGCUGCUGCCGAGCCUGAUCUGUGCCACGUGCAUCAACGCCAGCAGAGCCGUCAAGUCCCUCAUCCCGCUCUACCAGAGCUUCUACGAGGAGAGAGCUCUGU